rnacentral:rRNA from 1 species
CCUACGGGAGGCAGCAGUGAGGAAUAUUGGUCAAUGGGCGCGAGCCUGAACCAGCCAAGUAGUGUGAAGGAUGACUGCCCUACGGGUUGUAAACUUCUUUUAUAAAGGAAUAAAGUGAGGCACGUGUGUCUUUUUGAAUGUACUUUAUGAAUAAGGAUCGGCUAACUCCGUGCCAGCAGCCGCGGUAAUACGGAGGAUACGAGCGUUAUCCGGAUUUAUUGGGUUUAAAGGGAGCGUAGAUGGGUUGUUAAGUAAGUUGUGAAAGUUUGCGGCUCAACUGUAAAAUUGCAAUUGAUACUGGCAGUCUUGAGUACAGUUGAGGUAGGCGGAAUGUGUGGUGUAGCGGUGAAAUGCUUAGAGAUCACACAGAACUCCGAUUGCGAAGGCAGCUUACUAAGCUGCCACUGACAUUGAUGCUCGAAAGUGUGGGUAUCAAACAGGAUUAGAUACCCGAGUAGUC